rnacentral:rRNA from 1 species
UACGUAGGGGGCAAGCGUUGUCCGGAAUCAUUGGGCGUAAAGCGCAUGUAGGCGGCAGCGCAAGUCGGGCGUGAAAUCCCACGGCUCAACCGUGGAAGUGCACUCGAAACUGCGCAGCUAGAGUCCUGGAGAGGAAGGUGGAAUGCUUGGUGUAGAGGUGAAAUUCGUAGAUAUCAAGCGGAACACCGGUGGCGAAGGCGGCCUUCUGGACAGUGACUGACGCUGAGAUGCGAAAGCGUGGGGGAGCAAACAGGG